rnacentral:lncRNA from 1 species
ACAUCCUCUCAAUGACCUCCUCCAGCAAUGAUGUUGUCAUCUAUUAAAGAUUACCUGUUGCCAGCUUGCUGCAUCUGUACUACCUUCUAAGACGCCCGUGUAUGCAAAGAAGCCAGAAAUCGCCAUUCCUGGAAUAUCCUUUCACGCAGAGAUGAACAGAUGACUGACCUUUGACCGAUAAGAUGUUACACCAAGCCAAAGGCUGCAUACAAACGUCAAAGAAGAAUUUUUGACAGUAACCCGGAAAAUAAUCAGAUCUCUUUCUAAAAGCAAAUAUAGUGAUUGGCAUUGUGGACGUUGAGAAGUGGAUCAUCUGGAAUCAGACAGAGCCCUCAGGGGACAGGAGAAGAGAAUGAGGAUGGAGCGGAAUUAAAACUGACACGAGUGAGAGACGGCUUGUAAGAUAAAUAGCAAGUGAGGCCCUGUCAGAUGAGCACGGGCUGCAGAGCUGCUCAGAUGAUCGCAUGAUUGAUGGAAUCGGCUGUGGAGGAAAUGUCCAGUAAUGUAGCAACAGAUCAGUAUUGAGAGAUAAAUCAUCCUGCAAUUGUACGCUGCUAUCUCAAGCCGAAUGGCGUUGAAAAACAGCGCAGUUUUGAGGGAGGUCCAGAGAUAAUUGUUUUCUAACAACCUGCUCCCGUGUAUUGGCAAGGAAGUUAAAUCAAACUCAGGACAGCGUUGCGAUGCUGAUGGUAUAAGGACGGGAAGAGCAAUAGACUUUCACCGGUGAAUCAGAAUUUCAGCAGGUCUCGGGCUAUUUGCCAUUCUAAAGGCGAGAGAGUCUCUUUGGGUUGCAAAUAGAAUGCAUAUCCCAACGCCACCUGCCACCUCACUCCCAUCUUCCUCGUGAUUCUUUCCUGGUCAUCCCCAGAAAGCGUCCUGGCUGUCAGUCCAGAGCGGGUAUUCAGGGACAUCGUGGAAAACUGUUUUUCAGAGAAUGCUAACCAGGACCUAACUUGAGCCAGCAGUUAUACAGGAAGGAGAAAGAGGAAGGGAGGAAGGGCAUGGCCAUUUACUGAGUGCCUACUCUAUGUGAUAAUGAGUGAAUAAUAGGGUAAUAAUGAGAGUGAAUGGGUGUUUGGCUUAUAUUAACUUCAGGAAUCCCAAAGGAUGCAAUCAGGUGGAUCCAUAAGGAGCUGCAUCUGUGAAGGUGCACUUAGACAAAAAAGACUAUCUUCGGAGCACAUGGAUUCUCAGCUGUGACCGGGAGCAGUCGUUCAAGUUGGAGGAGCCUGCUUCGGACAAGGAGACUCUGACUUUUUAAACAUGUCACUCUAUGGAUUAUGGGACAUACCUACAUUGCUUUUUUUGUCCACAACAAUUUAAGGGUAAACACUGCUCAGAGACACGGAGGUGAUUGUAUUGACAACUUACUUCUUGUUUCAGUCUAGCUGACUCUGUUGGGUCAUCCUCAAAUGUGAUCUGAUAGGAUUUGAAGAAGCUAAGGACCAUGAUUCUAGAACUUACUUUUUCACAAGUUCCUCUAGAUUUGUGUCGCAUUUUUGACAUAUGGAAUGCUUUUUAUCUCUAAGAAUGUGACAGGCACAUAGUAGGUAUAUACAAAUAAAUAUAGUAGAUAUUUUAUAUAUAUACAUUAUAUAUGCAUAAAGUAUAAGGAUGCAUUUAUAAAAUAAAAUUCAUUCUUAUGUAAAUUCAUAUAUAUAAAGCUGGAAAAAUAUAUAUACCCACACACAAUUUUAAUAAAAGAGAACAAGUU